UACUUAAAACUGUGGGAGGGGAAAGAAAAGGGGGUUAGAGAGUAGCAAAAAGACACAAAGAUUAUCUAUAUACUGUAAAGAAGACCAAGUGCACCUGUUUUUUUUGAGGAAAAUUCAAGAACCCCAUUUCAUAUUAAUGGAACAAGAUAUGAUCUUUGGAUUCAAAUUGGAAUUUUGUUAAGAAAAAAUCAUUGAAUUCUUGAAUAAAAAUCUCAUCUUUUUUUUAAGAGUUACUGUAGAUAUUCAAGAAGAAGAAGAUUGUUUCUUUAGUCAAAUCUGG
rnacentral:misc_RNA from 1 species